UGGAGGAACAAGUUACUCUAAUAUAGUCAUUUCAUUUGUAUUGUAGCAAUGGUUCCAUUAAACAAAACAAGCAAAAUUGUUCGUUUAUUUAAAGAGACACAAUUUUACAUUCACUACAAACAUACUUGCUGCAGACUCCGCGACAUCGAAUUGGCACUAGCAGCUCCUCUAUAUAUCCUCAGGUCCAUUGAUGUCCUUGUUUGCAAUCACAGCACCAUCUGGAAUUUCUAGCUUCACUCCGGAUUUGGCUGCAACAGUCACUUUCCCCUUUAGGGUAACGCUAGAUCCAAACCAUACAUCACCGGUCACCUUCAAGCUACCUAGAUCAAUGAUGCUGGGAAUGGACUUGAAACGGCCUAAGAAGUUGGCCACCUUCUUGAAUUCAGGUCCUAACUCGAUGGAUGGGUUGGACGGAUUAGACCUGGCCGGGUUUCGGAUGACAUAGCCCUCAUCAGUCAAGGUGUAAAGAUCAGACUGAACAAGGAGCAAAUCUGAAGUUGCUUUCACGGGAAGGAAACGAGAUCGAGGAACAUUAGCACCAAUUGCCCGGUCGAAAAACUUAAUCGCAGCACCGGCAGCAGUUUCAAGUUGAAGAACUUUAACUCCGUCUACUUCCUUUGGGUUGGGAAUAAUCUCCAUCUUGAGUGCAUCUGCUUCUACAAGUCUUUUAAUAGCACUAAGACUCACCCACAAGUUGUUGGUGUUGAAAAUUUUGAAUUUUUCAAUUGACUUGAAUUCAUUGACAUGUUCAUCAGGGACUUGUGCUAUUUCCAAUAGCUGUACUUUUCCUUCAUAUGAGAUUAAGGUGCCACCUUUGACAUCAGCUAAAGUUUUGGGAGUAACCUCCAUGCAGUACUCAUUUUUGUUUAGGAUCAAAUGAUUUAAGAUUUUCAAAUCAACAAUGG
rnacentral:misc_RNA from 1 species